rnacentral:sRNA from 1 species
GAUCCAGAAGCUGCUGCAGGACAAUCAGAGACAAAAGAAAAGCUCCGAGAUUUUGAAAUCGCUGGAAAAUGAAAGAAUAAGAAUGGAACAGUUGAUGUCCAUAACCCAGGAGGAGACUGAGAACCUGCGGCGACGUGACGUUGCCUCUGCCAUGCAGCAGAUGCUGACUGAGAGCUGUAAGAACCGGCUCAUCCAGAUGGCCUACGAAUCUCAGAGGCAGAACUUGGUCCAGCAGGCCUAUUCCAGGUAAGCAUGGCCGAAAUGGAUGAACGAUUCCAGCAGAUUCUGUCGUGGCAGCAAAUGGAUCAGAACAAAGCCAUCAGCCAGAUCCUGCAGGAGAGCGCGAUGCAGAAGGCUGCGUUCGAGGCACUCCAGGUGAAGAAAGACCUGAUGCAUCGGCAGAUCAGGGGCCAGAUUAAGUUAAUAGAAACUGAGUUAUUGCAGCUGACACAGCUGGAGUUAAAGAGGAAGUCCCUGGACACAGAGUCACUCCAGGAGAUGAUCUCGGAGCAGCGCUGGGCCCUCAGCUCCCUGCUCCAGCAGCUGCUCAAAGAGAAGCAGCAGCGAGAGGAAGAGCUUCGGGAAAUCCUGGAAGAGGGGAUGGAGCGCCAGCUGGUGGCCCUCCUGGAGGAGCUGUCGGCUGAGCACUACCUGCCCAUCUUCGCGCACCACCGCCUCUCACUGGACCUGCUGAGCCAAAUGAGCCCCGGGGACCUGGCCAAGGUGGGCGUCUCAGAAGCUGGCCUGCAGCACGAGAUCCUCCGGAGAGUCCAGGAACUGCUGGAUGCAGCCAGGAUCCAGCCAGAGCUGAAACCACCAAUGGGUGAGGUCACCCCUACGGCCCCCC